rnacentral:lncRNA from 13 species
AAAAAUUCUUAUAAAACGUCGCUUAUUUUUCAGAUAAUUAGAACAAAAAUGUAUAAUAUCAUACUACUUUUAGCAGAGAUAUUAUUGCUUAUUUUGAAAAUUUUAUAUUACAUCUGCGAGGAUAUAUACAGAGUAAUUGUUCCAAUAAAGAAGAAAAGCGUAACUGGUGAAAUCGUUUUGAUAACAGGUGCAGGUCAUGGCAUCGGAAAAGAAUUAGCGACUGGCUAUGCUUCGUUAGGAGCAACAGUAAUGUUGGGAUAUCGAUGAAAGAACCAACAAUGAAACGAUGAGUGAUAUUAAGAAAAUGGGAAUAGACUCUGUUUAUGCAUAUCGAUAAAUUGAUGCGAUGUAGCAGAUAGAGAACAAGUUUUUAGGGUAGCUGAAAAAGUAAAAGAAGAAGUAGGCGACGUUACUAUUUUGAUCAAUAACGCCGGUAAA